UUUUACGGAGAGUUUGAUCCUGGCUCAGGACGAACGCUGGCGGCGUGCCUAAUACAUGCAAGUCGAGCGCGGGAAGCCGGCGGACUCCUUCGGGAGGAAAC
rnacentral:rRNA from 1 species